rnacentral:rRNA from 1 species
GAUGAACGCUGGCGGCGUGCCUAAUACAUGCAAGUCGAGCGAACAGACGAUGAGCUUGCUCCUCUGACGUUAGCGGCAGACGGGUGAGUAACACGUGUAUAACCUACCUAUAAGACUGGGACAACUUCGGGAAACCGGAGCUAAUACCGGAUAAUAUAUUGAACCGCAUGGUUCAAUAGUGAAAGACGGUUUUGCGGUCACUUAUAGCUGGAUCUGGGCCGCAUUAGCUAGUUGGUAAGGUAACGGGUUACCAAGGGAACGAGGGGUAGACGAACUGAGGGGGUGAUAGGCCACACUGGAACUGAAACACGGACCAGACUCCUACGGGAGGCAGCAGUAGGGAAUCUUCCGCAAUGGGCGAAAACAUGACGGAGCAACGCCACGUGAGUGAUGAAGGUCUUCGGAUCGUAAAAAUCUGUUAUUAGGGAAGAACAAAUGUGUAAGUAACUAUGCACGUCUUGACGGUAACUAAUCAGAAAGCCACGGCUAACUACGUG